AUACAGCUGUCCCUCCAGAUUAAGGUAAACCAAAUGUUGCAAUCAGAGAUUAGUGUACCUUGCCAGUUAUUAACAUCCCCGGUUGCUCAGCAAGCACGUCAGACACUAAUGCUGUGUAUUUAUUUGCUACUUCCCCACUGUAACUUGAACUUCUGCACCUGUCAAUGCAUUCCAGGGAAGAGAGGGGUAUUAUUGGAAAGCAAAAGUUUUAUACCUGUUACACCUGGUUUGGUUUGUCACAGCCUAAGAUUUUCUUCUUUUCUUGCCAGGAUUGCCAGGUGGUUUAAUCCGUUACUCUGCUGGUUUUAUGAAAAAAGUCUUUGUAUGCAAAAUUGCAUUUGUUACUCUCAUCUGCUCUCUCUGUUAUCGAAGCUGAGCUACUCACCUAAAUUGGGCCUUUUCUUUCCCUUCUGUAAGGGAGGUUUUUUUUUUCUCUCCUUCUUUGUGUGUGUGUGUGUAGAGGAUGCAGCACAAGGCUAGAAGAAUCAGCACCCUCUCCUGCUGUGCUCUAAUCAGUUAGUGGUGCCUCUCUCACAAGGAUCCUGACACGUGGAGCAUUGAUGAACUCAGCAUAACGUUGAAUAGGAGCUUUUUGGCAGCUGAGACACAAGGGCUAAGCUGCAGGUCAGAGAUAACACUAGUGCAGAUCUCCUCAUGCACACAGUUAGUAGCAUGCUUUCUUCCCUCCUGAGUGCAGGAAAUAGCUCAUGUUAAAUACGUUCACUUUUCAGUUUUCCUUUCUUCUAAAAUGGAGCUUGACAGAUUGGGCUUUUCAGCUCCCCCUUUUUUUCACCACCUCUGCUUUUUACCUCAGAAAUACUCUUCAGGAAGCAGGAGUUAAUCUUGGCUCAACUCUGUCUCCUGUACCUGCGUGCAACAGUGCCUUUCUCUGUAAAUAGUCCCAUUAAUUUCAAUGGGGCUACUCACAGAGGAGAGCACAGAUCAGCAUAAAUAAGAGUGGAAGAACCGGGCCCUGACCCUGCAGGCUUUUCCACAUGGAUGGAUUCCUGCACCCAUGUUUAGAGCUCUGUUGACUUCAUUGGGUCACUGUGCUGAACAGCUUGCAGGCUAAGACCUAAUAAUGUGUAUCUUUAAAGAAGGACAAAAGAAGGAGAAAGAUCCCUCAAAUGAUGGAGAGGAAAUGGUCAUAUGAAGGCCAGUCCUACCGGAAAGCCCUGCUUUAAAAGAAGAAAUUAUUCAGACUAAAGGAGUGGUUUUCCUAAGCAACCAGAUCAAAGUGAAAACUCUCAGAAUAGCUCACUCACAGGUUUCCUUUUGCACACAGGUUCAUCAAGAGUGUCAGACACUUGGUGGACAGUUCAUAUUCCUCUGACAAACUAAAAUUUGGUGGGAAACUUCACAGGAACCCACGGUAUCAGUAAGCUCUGAAAAUAUCUUGGGAUCUCUCUUCUUUUUAAAAAAGACUUUAAAAAUAAUUUGGUGGAUCUCUAAUCUAGUUAUCUGCUGUAACUACAAUAUACUGUGUAUGUCUGACUCCCACAGACGAAGGCCUCUGUUUCCUUUCUGCCAGUACCUUAGUAUCUGCCUUGCCCAGGAGUCUGCUGAUGAAGACUUCCUGUUUGUUUUGAGUCACUGUUGGAGUGAUAAAUAUACUUCAGCUUUCUCCUCAGAGAGGAAAGAAACCAGCUGCCCUGAACUAAAGAGAAAAUAUGUAGAAAUUCCACCAAAGGGCCCUGUUAUCAUGGAGCCUCUAUGGAAGCAUAAAAAGAAGAAAUAUAAGCCAGGACAAAGGAAACAAUUUACAUACUAAAACAUCCUUCCACAUGAAUCGACAUAAGUUGUUUUCCUUUAAUCAUUUAUUUUCACUCUAUAACUAUAAUUUAAAAUGGAUUACAAAUAAAUAAAUAAAUGCAGGGGGGUGGCAGGAGGGGGAGAGAACCAACCCCAAAAACAUACACUACACAAUAAUGUUUGGCUGGAUAAACAAACAAUUAUACUUGUGGUUUCUUGAUCUGACCACAAGCUUUAAAUGACAUUUUUUUGCAAGAACCUAUAAUGCUUCUGGAUAAACAAUUGUGUUUAUAUUGUCAGGAGCACCCAGUGCAGUGUUGUGUAAUUUCUGUGUGUGAUUACCAGGAUAUAGAAUAAAUUCCAAAAUAAAAGAAAGGAAAGGAAAAUGAGAUUAUUAGGUCAUUUUUAAUAAAAACAGCAUAGUUUGGAAUCACUUAUAGCUUAAUUUGUAAUUUUAAAAGAAUGCAGCAGUGGCUUUUAAGUUUCUGCAAUUAUCUUUUCAUCUCUUUUUAUCCUUUUUUUUCUUUUUUUUUCUUUUUUUUUUUUAAUUAGAGAUGGGACCCAAACCAAAAACCUGGAUCCAAACCCAAGAUCCAGGCUCAUAUCAGAGUUCACAGCUCUAACCUAGUUCUUGAAGAAGUCAGCUCUAAGCACUAGGAACUUCAGCUUUGAAUUUUAAACUUCCAUGUUCAGAAGCAUUUGAAUCCAGGUGUUUUGGUUCUGCUGGAUAUAGGGGUAGAAAGUUUAUAUCUUCAUCAGUGUUUGUGGUCUGGGCCUGUGCCACCCUCUGAAAAAUUUAGAUGUGUACUGUGUGGGAAUGGGGAUGGUUAGCCAAUGUGCUAUGACUGAUGAUGCUGGGGAGCCCAAAGAACAGCACUGAGAAAUAGCGUGGGCUAAUGGUUAUCGGCACUGGAGUAGGGGUCAGGAGACUUGUGUUCUUCUCCUGGCUCUGCUACAGACCUGUUGUUGAACCUUGGGCAAGUCAUUCACCUCUCUGUGCCUCUACACUGCAAUUAAACAACUGCAGCUGGCCCAUGUCAACUGACUUGGGUUUGUGAGGCUCAGGCUACAGGGCUGUUGAAUUGCGAGGAGGGAGGGUCCCAGAGCCCAGGCUCCAGCCUGACCCCAAGUGUCUGCACAACAACUAAGCAGCCCUGUAGCCUGAACCCCAUAAGCCGAGUCAGCUGAAAUGCAUUUAUUUGCAGUAUAGAUGCAUCCCCUGUUUCCCCUUCCACCCUUUGUCUGCCUUGUCUAUUUAGAUUCUAAGCAAUUUGCAGCAGGGACUCUGUGUUUCUACAGUGGCUAGCAUAAUAGGUCCCUGAUCUUGGUUGAGGCCUCCAGGCACUACUGUAGUACAAAUAAUGAAUAAUAACGAAUGAGAAGACAUUCCAGGGUCAUUGGGUUUGUCCAGUCAGAAUCUGCAAGGUGUACACUUCACAUUCCAGAAUCCCACAAAGUGUCCCUCUCAUGGAAGAAUCAGAAGGAAACUUUGACCUUCAGAUGGUCAUUUUCUGCUCUCUCAUCUUUUUUUUUUUUUAAGACAUGUGACCCUGGAUUGCUCAUAAGGGGGGAUGGGCUUGUGUGUGCAAUGUCCACAUUAUUUAGGAGAAUCAGUUUUUAUUAAAAAAAAGGCACACAAAAAAGCUCUGCUUUGGCUAAAUAAUAUUUGAAUUACCAUUACAAGAAAGGAGAACCUUAUUUUUCUUAUAUUUUUCGUAUAUUUUCCCUUAAUUAUCACGCGCCCUAAGUAUUGGGAAACAAUGUACGCGCUCUUGUAAUGAACUGCACAUAUGCAUUCCUAUAAGGUAAAAGGGUUAUGUCCUCUAUAUCACUCAGUGAAGUUAUGUGGAACAAAAAUAAUCAUUUAUAAGUGGUUUCAGUUUUACCUUUUUUUAUGGUUUACCUCUACUAACUCCUAGUAAAAAAUAAUUUCUUCUGUUACAGCUGAUGAAAAAGAUCAUUAUGGCUUUAAAGCAUGAGACUAUAAAAAGCUGCAACUAGUUUAGAUAUCAGUUAGAAGUUAAUUCUGAGUCACUGCAAUUGAAAACAUCAGUUUACAACAUUUACUGGGUUGCUAUAAAAUGUAUUCCCCUGUGUUACGUUAAACAUGAGAAACUACACCUCAGUGUUUCCAUUAUUUAUAUAUUUAUUCAUAUCUUGCUGCUUCUGAUUCAGCUGUGUAACUGUAUGCAAAACAAAUAACUACUGGGGAACAGAAUAAUUUGUAUUUUGAGGGGAAUAAAUAUCCUGAAGGAUAUAUUUUUGUGGGUGUGGUGCCACCUAUAAUGAAUCACAUGGAUUUUGCAGAUAAAAUAUGAGAGAGAAAAAGUAGGUGAGACAUUUUGGGCCCAGCAACCUUGACAUUGGUCUGUUAUGGAAAGGAAAUUUUUUGUUUGUUUAUUUUUUUAAAAAAUCCUCAAACAAAUCCACGUCUUAAAACACAAUGUGAGGCCCCUAGCAUAUUUUACAAAGGCCCUGAAAAAGAUUUACUAUCAGUUCCAUACAAAUAGAAGGACAAUGGGUCAGAUCCUGGGGACUGCUUAUGCUGCACCCAUUACUGCUCGAGGGUAGGAGUAUAAAGGUAUACUUUAUACUUCGGGAUGGGGUAUAAAGGUAGCUAUAAGCCAACUAUACAUUGCCCUGAUCAGUUUCAGGAUUGUUAGGUAUUGGUCUGGUCUUCACUGCAGGACAGAACAGAGAGACCUGCAUUGCCCUACUCCUGGGUGCCUACAGCCUCCAAGGACUGUUCCAGCGGCUAAGGAUUGGCUUAAAGUUGUGGCCCCCUGUUCUGGGAGUUAAAAGGAAUGGCAUAGAAAGUGGCCAGUGAAAGAUAUUUAUUUUUUAAAAGGCUAUUCAUUGUCCAUCAAUCUUUCUAUUGAAGACUGGAGUUCAUGGCAACAAAAUAACACAUUUCAUUUAAGAAACAUACACAGCAAAGUCAUACAUGUGUCUUUUGUGACGAGCCAUUUCUGGGAAACUGACAUUUUAUUCCUCCCCCUCCAGCAUCUGUAAAUUCAUGGAGUGCCCUGCAUUUGACUUCUCUUCUGGUGUCCUUCAUGUCCUCUACGCAAAAGAUUCUCAUUUAAUGAAAACCAUGUCGCUUGUUUCUUUAGUGUGAUCCAGAGUUCCUCCUGAAUUACCUAGAACUGUAGCUUCUGCUGAUGUGAAGACUUCCCGCCUCACGGAUAACACGGCAUGAAUCCCUACAUGCUCCAGAGCCUGAUUAGCGUGGAUCUCCCAGCACACACAAAGGCAAGAAUUAAGAGAAAGACAGGAGGAUCCUCAGGCCCACCUGAGCUCUGCCUCUUGCAUGCUGUCUUACAGAUAUCCACCAUGGAGUUGAGCUUCCACCAUGUAAGAGAGAUGAAGAACACAUUUAGAAAACAUGGGCAUGACACACGUACAGCAGUAAACUCAGAUCCACCUGAAUGGGCUUUGAGCUGGAGUUUGGCAUUCUCAGCCUACGAUUUAGGUGUUGGCCUGAGAUUGGUGGCACAUUACCCUACACCUCUGACAAGGUUAGCAGGAUGUUCCAGGUAUGUUUAUGCUACACAGCAUUGCCAUGAUCCUUGCCUGAGGGGGAAGACAUGCAUGAAAUAAGGAGCCCUGAAAAGAAGAGGACAUAGAAGCUGUGAAGCUUAGGUGGACAUAAGUAUGCUGGACCAGGAAGAUAAUGGGGGAGCAAGGACACCAGCUAGUGUUCCCUGAGCGUCCUGAUUCUCAGAGACAGUCUGAUAGCCAAGAUGCAGAAUUGGGGCCUCAAUGAAUCAUGACCUAUGUAUCAAGCAAACAAUGGAAACCCACAAUAAGAACUGGUGUCAGAUAUAAAGAAGUGGAGAGAGAGCAUUCUGAAUUUUGAAGGCAUCAAUAGGAGCUCAUGAUGAUUUAAGGAUUAUGAUGAUGAUGUGCACCAUAUAUGUGGUUAUAUGCACUCUCCUAAUUAAAAAAAUACUUUAGUCAAUGAUACUUGUUAAUCAGUAUCUUAUUUACAUAAAGAGGUAGAAUCAAUGGAGAGCCUCCAGAACAUUUGAGGAAAAUCUGUGGAUUUUCUUCUGGAGUUUUAGUUUUCAUUCUCCUCCUGUAUUUUAGACUAAGCAUCAUAGUGGAUCAGACCAAAGGACCAUCUAGCCCAGUAUCCUGUCUUCCGAGAGCGGCCAAUGCCAAGUGCUUCAGAGGGAGUGAGCAGAUCAGACAAGAUCGCUGAAACUGCAACUUGUUCUGAGCAGGGCCUUGAAGCUACACACAGUGCUCCACUGAUUCCAAGCCCAGGGAUCUACCCAUGCUAGAUAAGUUGCAGGACUGGGGCCUAAAGUCUGUUUAAUAAUGAAAGCCUCCAAUGCCUACAUAUGAAUCUUUUUCAAGAGCAUUUAAAAAGAAAUCAAAGUGAAAUAUGGCAUUAGCUACUUGGACAUAGAGAAAUGCCCAAAAUACACUGAUCAUAUCUCAGCAUAUGCCUGUAAAAGUGCUCACAUUCUACCCAUGCAGUCAAUUGCAAGUAAGGUUUUCUUCAAAGUUGGUCAAUAGCAGAUGAAAAUAAUUUAAAAAUGAGACUGUCCUAUUAAUACUAUGAGCCAAAGCAGGAAGAAAUGGAAAAACCCAGUUUAUGCUUUCUCUAAGUUAAAUCACUUAUUCAUGUUUUUACCAGCCUUUAUCAGAGUUUGUACACUUUCUCCAAUUAAAUUAUUUUUCUUCAGGGAAGCUUGCGAGGCACUUACAUAAAUUCUGUUAAUUUCUAAGUAAUGCAGUCCUGACAAUCACUUAAGACAAGAUAGUUGAUACUGCUGUCAGGAAAGACUCUUUUUCAGAAGAAUGUUUUUAUAGAAUAUCAUUGUGACACUUUGCUCAGAUGGAUGUCUUUAGCAGAAUUUGAUUAAUGUAAUGUAAUAAAAGAGAUGCACACUAAAGUGUCUGUACAUGUCUUGUUAAGUAUGUUUGAUUCAUUAUAUGUAGUUCUCCUCACUUCUUUUCUCUUUCCUCAGUUCAUUUUUUAUUAUUCAAUAAUAUAUCUAUAAAUAUGAAAAAGUUGGCACUUUCAAAGUCUUUGACAUAUAUGGCUAUUA